rnacentral:rRNA from 1 species
UGGGGAAUAUUUGACAAUGGGCGCAAGCCUGAUCCAGCCAUGCCGCGUGAGUGAUGAAGGCCCUAGGGUUGUAAAGCUCUUUCACCGGUGAAGAUAAUGACGGUAACCGGAGCAGAAGCCCCGGCUAACUUCGUGCCAGCAGCCGCGGUAAUACGAAGGGGGCUAGCGUUGUUCGGAUUUACUGGGCGUAAAGCGCACGUAGGCGGACUUUUAAGUCAGGGGUGAAAUCCCGGGGCUCAACCCCGGAACUGCCUUUGAUACUGGAAGUCUUGAGUAUGGUAGAGGUGAGUGGAAUUCCGAGUGUAGAGGUGAAAUUCGUAGAUAUUCGGAGGAACACCAGUGGCGAAGGCGGCUCACUGGACCAUUACUGACGCUGAGGUGCGAAAGCGUGGGGAGCAAACAGG